rnacentral:ncRNA from 1 species
GGUGGCGGCGGCCGGUGCCGCCCCGGACGAGUGGUGGGCGUACCCGGUCAGGCCAAGACGCCCCAGC